rnacentral:rRNA from 1 species
GUGGGGAAUAUUGGACAAUGGGGGGAACCCUGAUCCAGCCAUGCCGCGUGUGUGAAGAAGGCCUUUUGGUUGUAAAGCACUUUAAGUGGGGAGGAGGCUUACCUAGUUAAUACCUGGGCUAAGUGGACGUUACCCACAGAAUAAGCACCGGCUAACUCUGUGCCAGCAGCCGCGGUAAUACAGAGGGUGCGAGCGUUAAUCGGAUUUACUGGGCGUAAAGCGCGCGUAGGUGGUUAAUUAAGUCAAAUGUGAAAUCCCCGAGCUUAACUUGGGAAUUGCAUUCGAUACUGGUUGGCUAGAGUAUGGGAGAGGAUGGUAGAAUUCCAGGUGUAGCGGUGAAAUGCGUAGAGAUCUGGAGGAAUACCGAUGGCGAAGGCAGCCAUCUGGCCUAAUACUGACACUGAGGUGCGAAAGCAUGGGGAGCAAACAGGAUUAGAAACCCCUGUAGUCC